rnacentral:rRNA from 1 species
AUUGAACGCUGGCGGCAUGCCUUACACAUGCAAGUCGAACGGCAGCACGGGUGCUUGCACCUGGUGGCGAGUGGCGAACGGGUGAGUAAUACAUCGGAACGUACCUUAUCGUGGGGGAUAACGCAGCGAAAGCUGUGCUAAUACCGCAUACGCCCUGAGGGGGAAAGCGGGGGAUCGAAAGACCUCGCGCGAUUAGAACGGCCGAUGCCUGAUUAGCUUGUUGGUGGGGUAAAAGCCCACCAAGGGGACGAUCAGUAGCUGCUCGGAGAGGACGAUCAGCCACACUGGGACUGAGACACGGCCCAGACUCCUACGGGAGGCAGCAGUGGGGAAUUUUGGACAAUGGGGGAAACCCUGAUCCAGCAAUGCCGCGUGAGUGAAGAAGGCCUUCGGGUUGUAAAGCUCUUUUGUCAGGGAAGAAACACCGGCUCUAACACAGUCCGGGAAUGACGGUACCUGAAGAAUAAGCACCGGCUAACUACGUGCCAGCCGCCGCAGUAA